AGUUUGAUCCUGGCUCAGGAUGAACGCUAGCUACAGGCUUAACACAUGCAAGUCGAGGGGCAGCAUGGUCUUAGCUUGCUAAGGCCGAUGGCGACCGGCGCACGGGUGAGUAACACGUAUCCAACCUGCCGUCUACUCUUGGACAGCCUUCUGAGAGGAAGAUUAAUACAAGAUGGCAUCAUGAGUCCGCAUGUUCACAUGAUUAAAGGUAUUCCGGUAGACGAUGGGGAUGCGUUCCAUUAGAUAGUAGGCGGGGUAACGGCCCACCUAGUCUUCGAUGGAUAGGGGUUCUGAGAGGAAGGUCCCCCACAUUGGAACUGAGACACGGUCCAAAUCCUACGGGAGGCAGCAGUGAGGAAUAUUGGUCAAUGGGCGAGAGCCUGAACCAGCCAAGUAGCGUGAAGGAUGACUGCCCUAUGGGUUGUAAACUUCUUUUAUAAAGGAAUAAAGUCGGGUAUGGAUACCCGUUUGCAUGUACUUUAUGAAUAAGGAUCGGCUAACUCCGUGCCAGCAGCCGCGGUAAUACGGAGGAUCCGAGCGUUAUCCGGAUUUAUUGGGUUUAAAGGGAGCGUAGAUGGAUGUUUAAGUCAGUUGUGAAAGUUUGCGGCUCAACCGUAAAAUUGCAGUUGAUACUGGAUAUCUUGAGUGCAGUUGAGGCAGGCGGAAUUCGUGGUGUAGCGGUGAAAUGCUUAGAUAUCACGAAGAACUCCGAUUGCGAAGGCAGCCUGCUAAGCUGCAACUGACAUUGAGGCUCGAAAGUGUGGGUAUCAAACAGGAUUAGAUACCCUGGUAGUCCACACGGUAAACGAUGAAUACUCGCUGUUUGCGAUAUACUGCAAGCGGCCAAGCGAAAGCGUUAAGUAUUCCACCUGGGGAGUACGCCGGCAACGGUGAAACUCAAAGGAAUUGACGGGGGCCCGCACAAGCGGAGGAACAUGUGGUUUAAUUCGAUGAUACGCGAGGAACCUUACCCGGGCUUAAAUUGCAGAUGAAUUACGGUGAAAGCCGUAAGCCGCAAGGCAUCUGUGAAGGUGCUGCAUGGUUGUCGUCAGCUCGUGCCGUGAGGUGUCGGCUUAAGUGCCAUAACGAGCGCAACCCUUGUUGUCAGUUACUAACAGGUUCCGCUGAGGACUCUGACAAGACUGCCAUCGUAAGAUGUGAGGAAGGUGGA
rnacentral:rRNA from 1 species